UGGCGCAGUGAUUGAGAGUCCGUCUGCCGAUGCAUGGGGACACGGAUUCGUGCCCCGGUCCGGGAGGAUCCCACAUGCCGCGCGGAGCGGCUGGGCCCGUGAGCCUUGGCCCUUGAGCCUGCGCGUCCGGAGCCCGUGCUCCACAAUGGAAGAGGCUGCAACGAUUUCCAUUUCUGCUUUGGAUGUACAAAGCCAAAGGAAAACAUUGCUCUGAUCUUAACAUAAGAAAGUAUUGGAUGAUCUAUAAAAAUGUAACCUUCCUUGAACCCAUCAGAGAGCUGAAGUGGUGAGAAAACAAAGUAAACUAAGUUCCAAAGAGUGGCAAGCACCUCUAACGUGAGACAGGACACAAACCUGCUUCACUUUGGCAGAACACAGAGGAAAAGUUUGGUGUAGCAGGCCAAUAAAUAAUGGCAUGCAAAAACUACAGGAAGAACUUCAGGCAUUUCUUAUCAUAUUUUUGACCAGAUGCUACAGAUCAAAGAAGUGGCAUCCACAGUUGAGAUGGAUA